UGGCCGUACCAUACUGAAUAUACCGGUUCUCGUUAGAUCACCGAAGUCAAGCAUCAUUGGGCGCGAGUGCAGUACUUGGGUGGGUGACCACCUGGGAACACCGCGUGCCGUU